AAAUAAAGAAAAAAAAGUCGAUCUCGUGCGUGGCCUCCCUUCAGUUCUCCUUUCUUAGACUCGCCAUUAACCUUCUCCCUUCUCAGACCCACGAACAAAAUCCCUGAGACCUAGUUACCCACCCACGACCGGAGGAGUGACGACCGACUCCACCCACCCCUCGCCGGCAUCUCUUGCCACAUGCCAGACGCCACCCUCACUGCUCUUCAUGGUUCCCUAAAAUUCCUUUAACCCAGUUCAUUGUUCGCACUUCACAAGGCCACUGCCCACUGUUACUGCUACCGUGAACCGGUAAGCGUGAAGUCAAGGCCAUCAGGCCCACCGACUCUGACGGUCACCGUGAACUGUGAACACCACCAGACCAAUCCACCUUCAAUUCAAUUUCAGGUUCUUUAGAGCAACAAGCCAUCAUCAUUCCUCCCGAUUCUUGUUUGAAAAGAGGAACAAACAACACAACCCUAAUCCACAUUUUGGUAUUUCUUGGGGUACAAUAACUCCCUCUGAAUCUGAGUUUUUUAAAAAUAAGAACAUCCGAGUUGUUUUAAAAUUUCAGCAAUAAGGAAGUGCAAACAACAAUAUUGAUCUUUCUCCUUAAAUCUGAACUCUUAGAGGAAGGAUUCGGUGGUUUUACCCACGAAUUACAAUUCGGUUCACUCUGCCUGAAUUGGGGUUCGUUCGCCGGUUUUGAAUCGCCAAUGGGAAAGAAUCGUUUUCCGGCUAUGCUAAAUGAGAAAAGAGGGUAGCAUGAAGAAGACAUCGUUGCAAAAUGUUCUAGGAUUUUCUCUUCAAAAAGAUAUUCUAAAAAAAUGAAAAAAGAGAACGGGAAGAAAUUGAAACAUAAAAGGAGACAAAUCUUACAUAAUAAAUCAGAUUAGAAGAUUGAAGACUACAUACAAAUUGAAUAAUAAAUUUCCAUCAUUAAAGCCUAUUAUUAAGCAUCAACUAGAUGACUGGUAUAGUCCUUUGCAGGAAGAAGAAAUUGAUAGCCGCUUCUGACUCUUUCAUUAGAAUGUGUUAAUGUGGAGUAUAAGGAAAGCCACCUGUUCUACUUUAUAGAAAGAUGGGAGAAAAUUGAAAAAAAUUGAGUAAAAGACUCGGUGUACCGUGCAUAAUGAUAUCCUACGCAAUUUUCAAAAUUAAAAUUGCUUAAAAAAAAGUGAAAGUAGUUCAGAUUUUUUUUAGUUUUUUUAAGAAUUGUAGUUGGCAGAUUUAAUAGCCUCUUAUUUAUUAUUAUUGUCCCAUUAUUAUUGUACAUAUUCAAUUGUAAAUAUUAGGGGUGUUCAAAAUCGGAUACCUGGUUGUCCCGGUUCUGAAAAACCGGAUACCCGGUUUUCCGGAUAGUUAAAAUUGUAUUCCGGAUCCGACCCGGUUUAAACCGGGUCGGAAACUGGAUACCCGAUUUUGAAUUUUUUUUUUUUUACUUUUUUUAAUAUAUAAUUCAAAUAAUAUUAAAAUACUUAACUUAAUUAGUCAUAAACUAUUAAAAUACAACCAUUAGUUAAUUGAAAUACAACUAUAAUUCCAUAAACUCAUAAUUCCAUAAACUAAAAGCAAACGAUUAAAAUUUUUAAGUUGAAACUUUAAGCUCCAUUAAUCAUCGUCACCGACGUCAAGAGUUUCAUCGAUUAUGACCUCCGGAUGCUCCAAAGUUAAUUGCAUUACCUAAACCAAGAGCACGAACAGUCGAACAAUAUAAGGUUAAAGGAAAAAUAUAUUUUACUCUUAAAUAUUAAAUAAUCAAUUGAAAAAUAAUUAAAAAUUUAUGCUAACCUUCCUCCAUCUCUUCAAGUGCAAGCAAACUCUCCUCUAUCGCUAAAGGAGUUAUAGAAAUACGAAGCCAAUCUUGUGCGCAAAUAAGGGCUUCGGCCAUCUUUGGAGUCAAUGAUGUUCGAAAAUCAUCAAGAAUACGACCACCAGUACUGAAAGCCGAUUCAGAAGCAACGGUAGAAAUAGGUAUAGCGAGCACAUCUUUAGCCAUCUUUUGAAGAAUGGGAUACCGUUUUGUUUGAUCUUUCUACCAUAGUAAAAUAUCAAAGUUAGAAUCAUGAGGUUCACAUGCAUCUUCUAAAUACCUAUCCAACUCACUUUUGUUUAGAUUGGUUAAUGAACAACCUGUCUCCAUUUGAUAUCUUGAAUGCAUUAGUUCAAUAAGGUCCACCUUCCCCACUCCUUGAGGUGGAAGUGGAGGAAGUAGCUUCACUUGUCUUUGGUGGAGGCAUAGAAUAAGAAUAAGAAUCAAACAAGUUUUGAAAAACCAUUUUAAUCUUUAGUGACAAGAGAGUAGCUUUUGUGGCAUCAUAUGAAGCACGCACAAUCCAAUCUAACAUAAUUCCACUUAUGCCUAGGGUCAAGAAGAACAGCUACAAACACUAAAAUAUUGAUAUUAUCGAUGUUUCCAUAAUAUUUGUCAUAUUUUUCCAUCAUAUUGGUAGUCAUUUUCCUCAUACCCUCAUCAUCGACACUUAUGUUGUUGGCAAGCAAUAAUCUAGUCCCAAAAAACUCAUGUGCAUAAGAGUUGCAAGUUACAUAACGAGAAGCAGAAAAUCUCAAAGUUGCAUCAUAAAAAACACUCAAAAAAGGUAAGAAAGUAGACACUUUCUUCCAAUCCUCUUCAGUAGGAGCACCACCAAACUUUCAAAAAAGACAAAUCAACUUCAUUCAAACCAUCUUUCACAAUCAAAUUGAAAAUAUGUGACGCACAUCUCAUAUGUAGGUAUUGACCCUUCAACAAACCAGUAUCCCAAAUGUUAAGUCUUUUCUUAAGGUAAUUGGCCGCUAUGUCAUUUGAACUUGCAUUGUCUACGGUCAAUGUCAUGAUAUUUUUCAAACCCCAAUCAAUCAAGCAUUUUUCAACGGCUCUGCCAAUGAGUAUUCCCUUGUGACCAGCAAUAGGACAAAAGUUUAUGAUUUUCUUUUGCAAAUUCCAGUUAUCAUCAAUAAAAUGUGAAGUCAAACACAUAUAACUUAAGUUUUGCCUUGAUGUCCAAGUGUCUGUUGUUAGACAAAUUCGUGACUUAAACUUUUGAAAAAACAAUUUCAACUCAUUUCUUUUUUCAAUGAAAAGACUAUAACAAUCUCUAGUGGCAGUGCUACGAGAAGGAAUCUUAAAUAAAGGAUUCAAAGCCCUACAAUACUCACGAAAUCCUUCACGUUCAACAAAAGCAAAAGGCAAUUCAUCCACAAUAAGCAUUGUAGCAAGUUUUUUUCUACACAAAUCAUAAUCAAAUUCCCACAAAUUUGGAACACCAACACUAUCAACACUACCAUCCUCAUUGACUCUUCUAGCAAUAUCAAAUUCAAUUUUCUUUUGCUUCAUAUCCAAAUUUGGAGGAUAUUUUUUGCAUCUUUUAAUAUGAUUAGCCAAAAGAGUUGUUCCAUUUUUGUUAGGACAACUAAUAGAAGUUUUGCAAUACUUACAAUGAGCAAUUGUUGAAUCCAAUUCAUCAACUGUGUAAUGAUCCCACCAUUUUGACCUAUUACUCCUCGUACCAGUAGUUGCACGAGGUUGUUUUUUAUGUUUUUUAAUUGGUGAUCUUGUAUCUUCAUCCUCAUCGAACAAGCGAUCAACACUCUCUUCAAAUUGAGUUCCUUCAUUCGGUGAUAAAUUUCCAUUAUCAUCAAAAGACGACCCCAUGUUCUAUACAAGUUACCAAUUCAUAGUCAGUUCAUCGCUAGUUGUACAAUACUACAAUCAAUUCAUAAUCAGUUCAUCAUCAUUUCAUCCAAAACCUUUCAGCUAACAUAAUCAGUAAUCACAACUCACAACUUACAUGAAUCAAUUUCAAUCAGUUCAUUCAUCAGUUCAUCUCCAAAUGUAAAGCAAAAAACAAAGGAUUUGUAGAAGUAAACAAUUCACAAUUGGUUCAUCAUUAGUUGUACACAAUCAAUUCACGGACAACAGUUCAUCAAAUUAAAUGGCUACCGAAAAUCAGAAUAUCACAACAAAAAUACAGAAUAUCAGAACAAAUAUCAGAAUUUUGAAUAAAUGAAAAAGAACUACUGAAAAUCUAGAUGGUGGAACCGGUGGGUAAGAAUCCAUAUAGAUCUUCAACUCACUACCGAAAAUGGCAGAUUAAAUCUGUGACAAAAUCGAAAAUGGCAAAAAAAAAAUUAAAUAAUUACUGAAGAGUGAAGAGUGAAGAUGUUAUGUGACAAAAUCGUUUAAUGCGAAAAUGGUGACGAACUAAGUUAAGUAGAUAACGAAAUCGAAAAUGGCAAAAAAAAAAAUUAAAUAGGUACUGAAGAAGAAGAUGGCAAAAAAAUUGAAACAAACUUACCCAAUGAAAGAUGACGUCGUGAAUGGUGAAGGAGGAAGAAGGCAAGCAACAGCCAGCAGCAAGAACGAAGGAGGAAGAAGAAGCAAUAUUGAGUGGAAUACUGGAAGAGUGGAAUAGAAAGCGGCCCUAGGUAGAAGGAAUCUGAUAGAUUUAGUCAUUUAGGGUUUUACUUUUCAAUUUCAUUUUUGACAUUUAAAAAAAAAAAUACUCAAACCGGAUACCGGGUACCCGGUUUUCCAAAAUUCGCGAUCCGUAUCCGACCCGAAUACCCGGUUUUGAAACUGGGUACCUGACCUGAAAUAUUCGAAUUUGGAAAACCGGGUAAUUUACCCGGUUUUAAAAAUCGGAAAACGGAUUUUUCGGAUCGGGUUUUCGGAUCCGGAUAUUUUUGAACACCCCUAGUAAAUAUCUUAUAUUGUGUUUGGUUAAAAAUUAUAAAAUGUUGAUUUUAAUAUACAUCGAAAAUAAAUGCACGAAUCAUCCACCUAAAAAUAGAACCAAACACCUAAGCGAACGAACAACGUAUACAUCAACUAGCGAAUCGCGAAUCCGAAUUCGUACAAUGAAUCAAACCGAAUCACGAAUUGUGUGAUUGGGCGGGACACACUGAGUAUGAUGAUGAUGAUGAAUUAGUUGGCCUCAAUUACAUUUUUUUUCCCAUACUUUGCAAAAAUAACCCUUAGAUUACCUAUCUUCCUUGCCCAAUUGUUAUAAAAGGAGUUUACUUCCUUCUUCCAUUAUUAAAUUAAUUGAAGUUCUUUUUCUCAUUAUUCAUCUUAUUUGUUUUUUGGGUAAACUAUUUAUCUUAUUCUUGCCACUAGUGGAAAAAACCUCAUUUGCUGCGGUUUUUUUCCCAUAAUAGGUUUUGGCCCUAAGCAUUAGUGAUAGGAGCAUAUGGCCUAUUGUAAAUCUUGCGGUUUAAAACCGCAGCAGAAAAGUCAACCAUAUGCUGCGGGCCUCCCUAAAACCGCAAAAAAGUCAACCAUGCAUGUACUUUUGAAUAGAAAAUGUACGGAAGUAAUCAUGGAUGUCGUAUUGGGAAAAAGUACAGAGCACAAAAUGUAAGAAAUUUUGAGUAAAAGAGUAUAGAGAAAAGGAGAAAGAAUAGGGAGAAUGACAUGUAGUAGCAAAUCAAUACUAUUUGUUGAUGGAGGGCGGAGGGUAAUGGUUUUUAUUACCGGAUUUUAUGAGGGGUAACAAAUGGGAGGAAAACAUUCCCUUGAGAAAUGGAUUGGGUUAUCUAGAAUGUCUAACCAAACACUUAGUAACGGUAAUGCAUUAUUUAUUCCGUUUCCUGCAUACAAAUUUUACAUACUAAACGCCCUCUAAAGUGAUUUUAUUUUCUUCUUAUUACUCUUAGAAAAUGGGGGGAAUCAAAACAAGGGUAAUGAUUAACCCAAAGAAAUGAAAUUGGUUAAUUUUUUUUAUACCAACCAAUAACUAAUUAGAUGUCUUAAUUAUCUACGGUCCGUUUGGUAGAUGGUAUUAAACGAUGGUAAUGAAAAUGAAAAUUAGAGUAAUUUCUGUUGAAAAAUCUCUUGCAACCUUGAUAGCCAUGCUUGUUCAACUUCAAUCAUCUCAUUUUCUUCAUAAAUUUCAUUCCAAUGCCAUUGGGAGAUGUGGUAUUAGGUGGUAAUGAAAAUAUGUAUAUACAAAAAUCUUUUUUAUGAUCAAAGUUUCAUUAUCAUGGGAAUGGCAUGGAACUUUUGAUGAUAUUUUAAACUAUAAAUCAUUCUCAUUACCACCAUUUAAUGCCACCAACCAAACAAAUCAUUAUUACUUUUUUCCAAAAAAUUUAUACCAAACAAGCCUAAAAAAUUUGAAUUAGAAGGUAGUGGAGCUAAAAACGCAUAUAUGUAGAAAACUUCGUAUUAUAGCGAUUUUAGCUGGACCAAGCCUAGCAAAAGGCGAGUUGGGCAUAGACGUAUUGCUUCUAUUUAAAUAAACUCAUUCGUCCUCCAUUGAAUAUUCAACAUAUCAGUUGAAUAGUUACGGUUUACCUCACCAAAUCACGCCUGAACUGACCAAUCCUUCGCCGUUGCAGGUGACUCGCCAUUUCACCACUGAAUUCUGAUCAAUUCAACGGGGCCCAUAAUUUUUCUUUUGCUUCGGGCCAUCAAAAUCUAGAAGUGAUGUAGGAUCACCUACAUCUAAUUCUCAUGAGCUGACCAAGAUAAAUAUAAUGAUACAACAUCAACUGGAAGACGCUCAAAUUCAAGGUUCAAAGCUGAAGUCCUUUAAUUUCGUAGUCAUAAACUAAGUCUUCUUUUUUGGUCGUAUUAUUUAAGUCUUUUAUUUUAUUUCGAAUAUUUGAGUCUUUUUGUAAUCUUUUACAAUAAAAAGUCUUCGAGAUGAUUAAGCCAGGUUAGGAUCAAGCUUAAUCAUGUCUCAUGUUUAGUUAGUUGAGUUGUAAUUUUCUUUUAAGUCUAGUAUUUAUUUUGGGUCAAAUGGGUUCGAAAUUUACAAAGCGUGUGAAGCAAGAAUCGAAACAAAGCACUCAGCCACAAAAUCAAUAAAAUGGCUGAAAAUCAUCAAGGAUAUAUUGAAGGACAUUUGCAAAUCAAUUCAAAUCAAGUUGGAGACUUAAAAUAUAGCUGUUGGAGACUUGCUUUUUAUCCACUAGAUUUAAAAAUAUAGCUGUUGGAGACUUGCUUUUAUCCACUAGAUUAUAAAAUAUAGCUGUUGGGAGUUUGCAAGUUGUAAUCUUUGGUAGCUGAAUCCUUUAGUAUAAAUAGGCUACUGCCCUCUUGUAAUUCAUUCACUUCCAUUACUUCUUUAAUACAAACAACCUUUGAGCAUUUUUUGUUCUUUCUUUGCAAUUUAAUUUUAACUUGGAAUAGUUGAAAGUAACUUGAAGUUCCUUUGUUUUUCAUUCUUUUGGCUAAAGAUUGAAUGUGUUCUUAGGAGCCCCUAGCUUUAAUUUCGUGGUGAAUUCUGUAUCGAAAUUAAAACUUUGGUUCAGCCAUUUUAAAGUUGUUCAAUCAACAUAUCUUUCUUAAUUUUCAUUGUUUCAAACCACAAAAAUCACAAAACAAUUCCAUUACAAUAGAAAUCAAUCAGCCUUAUUUAUUGAAUACGAAACUUCAAAAUACAAACGUGUGUUUAUAGUUUGGUUCUUGUUUAAUACAUAGCCAACUUAUAUCAAGAAGGCAGACCUUGGCUUUUAGUACUAAAUUAUAUUCUUGCAAAUUGUUCUUUGUUCAAAAAUCUUUGUUCUUCAUAUUGGCUUUAUAGUACAUAAUAUUUAGGUUUUAUAGUUUUCAGCCACGAUUUAGUGGUUAUUUAAUACGAAACAGACUCUCUUUAUUAUGCAUUGAACAUUUCUCCAGG